AGCGAACGCUGGCGGCGUGCUUAACACAUGCAAGUCGAGUGCGCGGUUCGUAGCAAUACGAACUGGCGCACGGCGCACGGGUGAGGAACACGUGGGCAACAUGCCCUCCGAUGGGGAAUAACCCGCCGAAAGCGGCUAAUACCGCAUACGAUUCCGGGGACCUCGGUUCCUGGACUGAAAGCCCGCAAGGGCGUCGGUGGAGUGGCCCGCGGCCGAUUAGCUUGUUGGCGGGGUAACGGCCCACCAAGGCAAUGAU
rnacentral:rRNA from 1 species